GUAUUUUGUAAAGUUGUUCUAGUUUUGUAACUAAAAUGGUUUGGCAGUGAGCGAUUCUUAUUAGGGGAAUAUGCAUAGUGAAGGAUGGUCCACCUAUUAGUUUACUCUUUUUAUGUUGGUGUAUGUCUGGUUUGAUAUUAUUGUUGAAUAAUUUAAGUUUGUGUAGUUUUAGUUAAGCUAAGUCUAUGUGCUGCUUAUUGGAGUUUUUGUGUGUUACAUUAAUAAGGGUGUUAUUGUAAGAUGAUGUGAUUUAGGACU
rnacentral:rRNA from 1 species